UGGAAAGUGACCCAGUGUUUUUAUCCAUGUUAGGGGCUCCGCUACAGUCAUGGCAGUAACUAGAAUUGUGGAAUGAAUUAAGUUCCUGAACUGAGAUGCCACUGUAUAUCUCCUUGUCCAGCACAGUUCAGGGGCCUGAUAAACUGAGGAACAGGAAUGAUUGCCCCUCCCUAGAAAGUCAGUACAACCAGAGAGGAGAUACCUGAUUUCAAUUCACCCAUCCAUGAGCCAGAGGAGCUGCUGGGGAGCCAAUAGAGAGCCCAGCAGCAGCCUUAUCCUGCUGAGGAGCAGCAUCAUAAGAGGGAGAAGAACAUUGUGAGGGCAGCAGGAAUUUGUGGGGCCCAUAUCAGGUC